AGUAUUAGUAAGUUGUUGGGCCCAAAUCACGAUCAUGCCUAAAAAUGUCAAUGAGUACGGAUAUUCGAAAUUUAUCCAAACCUGAAUUUGCAUUAGAAUGAAGUGGAUUUAUCUGAUGGUAAAUGUAUAGUAGUUUUGGAUACGGAUAUAAAAAAUAGCAACCUUACGGAUUUGGAUUUGGGAAUGGAUUUUGUUUGUACCCGACACGAGCUCGAAUUGAAUUUACAUUAUAUAUAAUAUUUGGUGUUAUAUUCGAGUUUGUAUUUUUGAAAAAUUGAUUUGAUGUAAUAUGUUUUGAAAUAUGGUAAAGAGGAAUAAUUGUUUCUGGUUUGGGUUUCGAAUUUCUAGUCGGGUUGGGUUUGGAUAUGGAUUGAUUUUUAAAAUCGGUCAGGAUUUGAAUUCAGAUUUGAAUUUGAAUUUCGGAUUUGAUAGCCGGGUUCGAAUUCGGGUUUUGAAAAUCCGUCCCAAUUACUACUAGAAACUUAUUGAGCCCCCAACCAUCUGCACAACUUUACUUAAGCCCCAUAUAUUAAUAUGAGUCCGGCUGCUAUGCUAUUAAUAGCACCAAGCACUUGGUACUACCAAGUUUUCCGCCUUUAGAUCUAUCUUCUUGAUCAUUUUCACUCGUUAGAUCAUACUAUUCAACCAACCACCCACUCAACCCUACGGGGCCCACAUCAUCCUAACCGCACAUCUCUUAAUCCAAUGGCCAAAAACUUGGUAGCACCAAUGACUUGGUGCUAUUAAUAGCAUAGUAGCCUAGUUCUAUUAAUAUUAUGAUUUUUU
rnacentral:lncRNA from 1 species